rnacentral:rRNA from 1 species
AGAGUUUGAUCAUGGCUCAGGAUGAACGCUAGCUACAGGCUUAACACAUGCAAGUCGAGGGGCAGCAUGUUGGUUGACUUGCAACCAAUGAUGGCGACCGGCGCACGGGUGAGUAACGCGUAUCCAACCUUCCCUAUAGUAGAGGAUAGCCCGGCGAAAGUCGGAUUAAUACUCUAUGUUUUCCAAUGCAGACAUCUAAAAUGGAACAAAGGUUUACCGCUAUAGGAUGGGGAUGCGUCUGAUUAGAUAGUCGGCGGGGUAACGGCCCACCGAGUCGACGAUCAGUAGGGGUUCUGAGAGGAAGGUCCCCCACAUUGGAACUGAGACACGGUCCAAACUCCUACGGGAGGCAGCAGUGAGGAAUAUUGGUCAAUGGGCGAGAGCCUGAACCAGCCAAGUAGCCGUGCAGGAUGACGGCCCUAUGGGUUGUAAACUGCUUUUAUACAGGGAUAAAGUGACGUACGUGUACGUUUUUGUAGGUACUGUAUGAAUAAGGACCGGCUAAUUCCGUGCCAGCCGCCGC